rnacentral:rRNA from 1 species
GUAGGUGGCAAGCGUUGUCCGGAAUUAUUGGGCGUAAAGCGCGCGCAGGCGGUUCUUUAAGUCUGAUGUGAAAGCCCACGGCUCAACCGUGGAGGGUCAUUGGAAACUGGAGAACUUAAGUACAGAAGAGGAAAGCGGAAUUCCACGUGUAGCGGUGAAAUGCGUAGAGAUGUGGAGGAACACCAGUGGCGAAGGCGGCUUUCUGGUCUGUAACUGACGCUGAGGCGCGAAAGCGUGGGGAGCAAACAGGGAUUAGAUACCCUGGUAGUCCACGCCGUAAACGAUGAGUGCUAAGUGUUAGGGGGGUUUCCGCCCCCCUUAGUGCUGCAGCUAACGCAUUAAGCACUCCGCCUGGGGAGUACGGCCGCAAGGCUG